AAGUGACAGCAAACUAUGUGCCAGCAGCUGCGGUAAUACAUAGGUCGCGAGCGUUAUUCGGAUUUAUUGGGCGUAAAGCAAGCGCAGGCGGAUGGAUAAGUUCUGUGUGAAAAGCAGUUGCUCAACAGCUGUUGGCGCCGAAUACUAUCCAUCUAGAAUACGGUAGAAAGUUUUGGAAUUGAAUAUGGAGCGGUGGAAUGUGUAGAUAUAUUCAAGAACACCAGAGGCGAAGGCGAAAACUUAGGCCGUUAUUGACGCUUAGGCUUGAAAGUGUGGGGAGCAAAUGGGAUUAGAUACCCCAGUAGUCCACACCGUAAACGAUGGGUAUUAAGUCUUGGGGCUAGUGCCUCAGGGUUGUAGCUUACGUGUUAAAUACCCCGCCUGGGUAGUACAUAUGCAAAUAUGAAACUCAAAGGAAUUGACGGGGACCUGAACAAGUGGUGGAACAUGUUGCUUAAUUCGAUAAUACACGAAAAACCUUACCAAGAUUUGACAUCCCCCGCAAAGCUUUAGAAAUAAAGUGGAGGUUACCGGGGUGACAGGUGGUGCAUGGUUGUCGUCAGCUCGUGUCAUGAGAUGUUGGGUUAAGUCCCGCAACGAGCGCAACCCUACUCUCUAGUUAAUUGUUUAGAGAGACUGAACAGUAAUGUAUAGGAAGGUCGGGAUCACGUCAAAUCAUCAUGCCCCUUAUGUCUUGGGCCGCAAACGUGUUACAAUGGCGAGCACAGCGUGCAGCAAACCAGCAAUGGCAAGCAAAUCACUAAAAACUCGUCUCAGUCCGGAUAAAAGGCUGCAAUUCGCCUUUUUGAAGUUGGAAUCACUAGUAAUCCCGUGUCAGCUAUAUCGGGGUGAAUACGUUCCCAGGUCUUGUACACACCGCCCG
rnacentral:rRNA from 1 species